GGCCUCGUAGCUCAGUUGCCAGAGCAUUGGACUAGUAUCCCAAAGGUCGCGGGUUCGAUUCCCACCGUGGUCA
rnacentral:tRNA from 1 species